UGUGUGCACGCUUCUAUGAUUGCUUCUGCUAGCACGGCAAACAAGUCCAAUACUUCAAAGUCAAGCAACCACCGUCCCUCAUUCUGAACUCACUCUCACUCUCACUCUCACCCUCACCCUACACCACCAAAGGAACCUCCCUCUGCAAUUCCAUAUAGCAACCACGGCCGCGGCCACUUCUUCUUCAAACUUCAACUGCAAAAGUUACCAAGAAGUUAAUCAAAUUUACUUAUGGCACCCAUCACCAGCCUCGUCUGCUUCGUUCUCACUCACUUUGGUUUUCUCUGGACACCCACAUUUUUUCAAAAUUUCAGGUAUGAAAUCCCCAUUGAGCUUGAGCGAGGUACAUUCCGAAGUUACAGGAUAUCUACAAGAAUGCCCACAAAAAAUGAAGAAGGAACUACCUAUUGAUAAGAUCCCAAACAGACGUGUCUCUAUUUUUACACCUAGGUGGGAGAUAUCUGUCGGAGUAAAAAUUACCGAUCUAAGCCAACUGAUUCUCAAAGAGUGGAAAAAGAAGAAGCAUGAGCAAUAUGUAUUCUAAAUUCUUUAUUAAAUUUGUUACAAUAAAUUUUAACAUUAUAUA